rnacentral:tRNA from 1 species
GGGAAAGUAGCUCAGUGAUAGAGUGCUUGCCUUGCAUGCAUGAGGCCCUGGGUUCGAUUCCUCAGCACCA